UAGAUGCUCUUUAACAAAUACAACAUUUCUAUUCUUCUUUCUUUAUCUUUUGGUGUCUGAUGUUAUUCUCAUUUGAGGUGAGUAGUUGUAAAGCGAAUAUUAUUAGAUUUCCAACAUGCCAACAGAAAACACUCAAUGCAGGAAAAUAAAAAAUAAAAAAAAUCAAUUCCCUUGACCACAACCGCAAGCUUACAAAAUAACCUUGAAUGUAAAGUCAGCAAAAAUCUGGCCUAGGUUUCUUGCGAACCGAUAUGCAGCCUCUUUGAUGAUCCCUGAAAAUUCUGAUAUCAGAAUAAUUCCUCAGGUCUUCAAGACUAAUGUACUGCUGCUUGACCAUCCUGGAAAAAUCGCCGCCGGUGUCAUGUACCCAAAUAUAAGGGUGACACGUCUCAUCAUAGUAAUACAGCAAGCUCUUCAUACCUCCAGAACUAGCACUGCCACUCCUUCCAGGCAUGUAGGCCUUGUAUAUGCUCUUGCAUUUUAGUCUCUUUGAAGAGCCUGGCUUCAAUGUGUGAACCUUUUUCAGUAUUGAUCCCACCCUUACUUGCAGCUCAACUGACCUGUCACUCAGGUUCCAGAUCCUGGUGCCGAAUCCUGAAGUUUUUGUAUGAUCGCGACAGCCAUCAAAGCAACCCCCAAGAGGAAAAAUGCUGAAACCUGGCAUUUUUCCUCUCCAGGAUUCAGAAUUUUUGGUAACCUUGAAUUUUGAAUCAACCUUAUUGCUUUCUG
rnacentral:misc_RNA from 1 species